rnacentral:rRNA from 1 species
UACGAAGGGGGCUAGCGUUGCUCGGAAUCACUGGGCGUAAAGGGUGCGUAGGCGGGUCUUUAAGUCAGGGGUGAAAUCCUGGAGCUCAACUCCAGAACUGCCUUUGAUACUGAGGAUCUUGAGUUCGGGAGAGGUGAGUGGAACUGCGAGUGUAGAGGUGAAAUUCGUAGAUAUUCGGAAGAACACCCGUGGCUAAGGCGGCUCUCUAGUACGGUACUGACGCUGAGACGCGAAAGCGUGGGGAGCGAACAGG